rnacentral:rRNA from 1 species
UACGUAGGGGGCAAGCGUUGUCCGGAUUUAUUGGGCGUAAAGCGCACGCAGGCGGUGCGGUAAGUUUCGAGUGACAGGUGGUGGCUUAACUGCCACAGGACUCGGAAAACUGCUGCACUUGAGGGCUUGAGAGGGACGCGGAAUUCCAGGUGGAGCGGUGAAAUGCGUAGAUAUCAGGAGGAACACCGGUGGCGAAGGCGGCUACCUGGCCUAAGACUGACGCUGAGGUGCGAAAGCGUGGGGAGCGAACAGG